GCCAGGGUGGCGUAGUGGUUAGUGCAUCUGCCUUGUGAGCAGGCGUCCUGGGUUCGAGUCCCGGCCUUGGUA